CCGCGCUAGACGGGGAGGUAGCGGUGCCCUGUACCUGCAACCCGCUAUAGCAGGGUUGAAUUCCCGGCCUAGGGAAUGUCUUGUAAGGUCUGGCUGGAGUAAGUGAUGAAGAUAUUCAGGUCCUACGCAACGAGAAAUUCUGAACCGUGUCAGGUCUGGAAGGAAGCAGCACUAAGGAAUCAAUCUUGUGUGCCGUGGGGGCGCCUGGAUGGAGUUAACUGCUCUCGUAACGCUUGGAAGGCAUUUUCAAAGCUGGGUGCGCGG
rnacentral:SRP_RNA from 1 species